rnacentral:rRNA from 1 species
GAGUUUGAUCCUGGCUCAGAUUGAACGCUGGCGGCAGGCCUAACACAUGCAAGUCGAGCGGUAGCACAGAGAGCUUGCUCUCGGGUGACGAGCGGCGGACGGGUGAGUAAUGUCUGGGAAACUGCCUGAUGGAGGGGGAUAACUACUGGAAACGGUAGCUAAUACCGCAUAACGUCGCAAGACCAAAGUGGGGGACCUUCGGGCCUCAUGCCAUCAGAUGUGCCCAGAUGGGAUUAGCUAGUAGGUGGGGUAACGGCUCACCUAGGCGACGAUCCCUAGCUGGUCUGAGAGGAUGACCAGCCACACUGGAACUGAGACACGGUCCAGACUCCUACGGGAGGCAGCAGUGGGGAAUAUUGCACAAUGGGCGCAAGCCUGAUGCAGCCAUGCCGCGUGUGUGAAGAAGGCCUUCGGGUUGUAAAGCACUUUCAGCGGGGAGGAAGGCGGUGAGGUUAAUAACCUCAUCGAUUGACGUUACCCGCAGAAGAAGCACCGGCUAACUCCGUGCCAGCAGCCGCGGUAAUACGGAGGGUGCAAGCGUUAAUCGGAAUUACUGGGCGUAAAGCGCACGCAGGCGGUCUGUCAAGUCGGAUGUGAAAUCCCCGGGCUCAACCUGGGAACUGCAUUCGAAACUGGCAGGCUAGAGUCUUGUAGAGGGGGGUAGAAUUCCAGGUGUAGCGGUGAAAUGCGUAGAGAUCUGGAGGAAUACCGGUGGCGAAGGCGGCCCCCUGGACAAAGACUGACGCUCAGGUGCGAAAGCGUGGGGAGCAAACAGGAUUAGAUACCCUGGUAGUCCACGCCGUAAACGAUGUCGAUUUGGAGGUUGUGCCCUUGAGGCGUGGCUUCCGGAGCUAACGCGUUAAAUCGACCGCCUGGGGAGUACGGCCGCAAGGUUAAAACUCAAAUGAAUUGACGGGGGCCCGCACAAGCGGUGGAGCAUGUGGUUUAAUUCGAUGCAACGCGAAGAACCUUACCUGGUCUUGACAUCCACAGAACUUUCCAGAGAUGGAUUGGUGCCUUCGGGAACUGUGAGACAGGUGCUGCAUGGCUGUCGUCAGCUCGUGUUGUGAAAUGUUGGGUUAAGUCCCGCAACGAGCGCAACCCUUAUCCUUUGUUGCCAGCGGUUCGGCCGGGAACUCAAAGGAGACUGCCAGUGAUAAACUGGAGGAAGGUGGGGAUGACGUCAAGUCAUCAUGGCCCUUACGACCAGGGCUACACACGUGCUACAAUGGCAUAUACAAAGAGAAGCGACCUCGCGAGAGCAAGCGGACCUCAUAAAGUAUGUCGUAGUCCGGAUUGGAGUCUGCAACUCGACUCCAUGAAGUCGGAAUCGCUAGUAAUCGUAGAUCAGAAUGCUACGGUGAAUACGUUCCCGGGCCUUGUACACACCGCCCGUCACACCAUGGGAGUGGGUUGCAAAAGAAGUAGGUAGCUUAACCUUCGGGAGGGCGCUUACCACUUUGUGAUUCAUGACUGGGGUGAAGUCGUAACAAGGUAACC